UACGAAGGGGGCUAGCGUUGCUCGGAAUCACUGGGCGUAAAGCGCACGUAGGCGGCUCCUUAAGUCGGGGGUGAAAUCCUGGAGCUCAACUCCAGAACUGCCUUCGAUACUGAGGAGCUUGAGUCCGGGAGAGGUGAGUGGAACUGCGAGUGUAGAGGUGAAAUUCGUGGAUAUUCGCAAGAACACCAGUGGCGAAGGCGGCUCACUGGCCCGAUACUGACGCUGAGGCACGAAAGCGUGGGGAGCAAACAGG
rnacentral:rRNA from 1 species